rnacentral:lncRNA from 1 species
ACAUUGUGAUAUCAGAGUCUCCAUUCUUUUUCACAUACCCAUGGGUCCUCUCUGAGCCAAUAUCAUGAAGGAGGUUAUGAAAAUAACAACAUGACAGUCAGGAUGAUGACAGCUUGAGGGAGUUUGUGAAGUGGUCAAAUGAAAAAGAAUGGGAGACUCAAUAUCAUCUCUUGGACAGAAGUAAGCUGUUCCAAGACAUGGAAAGUCCUCAGAGGAGCAGACUGGAAAUGCAGUGAAAAAAUUAGAGAGGAAACCAGUGUGGGGACAUAAAACUCUCCAGAGAGGUGACUGCUAUAGCUUGGAUCUGAAAUAUCCCACAAAGACCUAAGUGUUAAAGGUUUGGUCCUCAGCUUGAUCCUAUCGGAAAGCAAUGGAAACAUUUAAGAGGGAGGCAGUAACAAGUUUCUGGUCAUUAUGGAGACUAUGGGAUGCCAGCCUCUCUCUUCUCUCUCUCUCUCUCCUCUUCUAAGCUGCAUGAAGUGAGAAGCUUACUCCAUCACAUGUCUCCCACCGUGAUCUACUGCCUCACCACAGACCCAGAAACAACAUGGCCUAGGAACCAUGUCCUGAAAUCUCUACAACUAAGGGGAACUUAGAAGUAUGAGGUCAGAAAAAUUUGAUAUCAAAAAGUUUAAAGACAGUCAUCCCAGAGGAUAAAACUCCAGUGCUCUCAGAAUAACUUUCAAGGCCUUUGCAAACAGUACUUCCUAUCGGUUGGAUCUUGAAUUUCUUCCAAAGGCCAAUAUAUUAACAGCUUGAUCCCCAGUUGAUGGCACUGUUGAGAGAUGGCAGAACUUUUAUGAGACUCGAUGUGGUGAGCAGCUUCCUUUGCAUGUGCUUUUGCCAUGACAUCCUGUCUCACCACAGGCCAAAAAGCAACUGUCCAUGGACUGGAACCCCUGAGACUAUGAG